rnacentral:rRNA from 1 species
CGUUGGUGAACCAGCGGAGGGAUCAUUACCGAGUUUACAACUCCCAAACCCCUGUGAACAUACCUAUGUUGCUUCGGCGGACCGUCCCGGUGCCCCCCUCGCGGGGCCCGGACCCAGGCGCCCGCCGGAGGACCCCAAACUCUUGUUUUAACCAGUAUCUUCUGAGUAAAUAAGCAAAUAAAUUAAAACUUUCAACAACGGAUCUCUUGGUUCUGGCAUCGAUGAAGAACGCAGCGAAAUGCGAUAAGUAAUGUGAAUUGCAGAAUUCCGUGAGUCAUCGAAUCUUUGAACGCACAUUGCGCCCGCCAGUAUUCUGGCGGGCAUGCCUGUUCGAGCGUCAUUUCAACCCUCAAGCCCAGCUUGGUGUUGGGGAUCGGCCCCUGUCCCCUCGCGGGACGGGCCGGCCCCGAAUUCUAGUGGCGGUCUCGCCGUAGCUUCCUCUGCGUAGUAGCAAUAUCUCGCACCGGAACGCAGCAAGGCCACGCCGUUAAACCCCCCACUUCUGAAAGGUUGACCUCGGAUCAGGUAGGAAUACCCGCUGAGCUUAAGCAUAUCAAUAAGCGGAGGAAAAGAAACCAACA